CAUUCUUCUUAACGUCUACAGAUUGGCUAUUAGAAGAGAAAGAUCAGCUGAGUCCUUUCGACCCGAUCAACUCAAUUCCGGAACUACUGAUUUCAACGACUUCGGCCCAACUCUCUCCAAAACAAUGAAAUAUACAAGUUAUAUCUUAGCUUUACAGCUUUGCGUGAUC
rfam:Myotis lucifugus cont2.35042, whole genome shotgun sequence.